rnacentral:rRNA from 1 species
UACGUAGGUGGCAAGCGUUGUCCGGAAUUAUUGGGCGUAAAGCGCGCGCAGGCGGUCCUUUAAGUCUGAUGUGAAAGCCCACGGCUCAACCGUGGAGGGUCAUUGGAAACUGGGGUCUUGAGUGCAGAAGAGGAGAGUGGAAUUCCACGUGUAGCGGUGAAAUGCGUAGAGAUGUGGAGGAACACCAGUGGCGAAGGCGACUCUCUGGUCUGUAACUGACGCUGAGGCGCGAAAGCGUGGGGAGCAAACAGG